GGAACAAGGCGUUCCAUUUCACGUUUGGUGCGCCAAAAUCAAUGGAACGCGCUGUUCCAUGGAAUGAAUUUUGGCUAAAUUUUCAUUCCACCUCAUCCCAACGACUUGUUCCACGUUCGUAGAACACAAAAUUAUAACAUUUUAAGACAAAAAUGCCCAUUUCCCAUUGUCCUUUCCUCAGAUCUCAACCUCUCCCUCUCCUUGUUCUUCCUCCUUGCUUCCAUUCGAGCCCUAGUUUUCCACGGUAUCUCUCAAUAUUCAGAAAAUGGGGAAGCCAUCCAAAGGCAAGAAAUCUGAGAAGUUGGGGAAGGGAAAGGUCACCCCCGUUCAAAUCGCCUUUAUCGUCGACCAAUACCUUUGCGACAACAACUACUUGGUAACCCACUUUCUUUUCAGAACCGAAGCUUUGUCCUUAUCGCCAAAUUGCCGAUUCGAGAGGCUUCGAAGAGUUUGUUGAGCAUGAUGCACACUUACAAUGCCAGUGGAAGCCCAGUCUCUGUGCCUUCGGUUGUGGCUCUGAAGCCGAUGCUUAUGGCUACUCCAUCUCACCCGCCUGAUGGGUCCGCUGCAGGUAUAAUCCUAAGCCUCCCCCUCUGUUUGUUUGCUUUGUGUUUGAAAAAUUGCCUGAAUGAAUUGAGAAAUCUUGUGAAAGUUGCAUGUUUAGUGAGAUUAUAUGACUUGAACUCGUAGACUAUACAUUUAUUUGCCUUAACUAGUUAUUUGAACCAUUGACGGCUACAAUGUACAAUUGCAGGUAAUAGUCUUAUUGUUUUUGUUUGUGUUUGAAAAAUUUGUUGCAUUCAUUGAGAAUAUAGUGAAAGUUGCAUGUGACUUUUGAGAGGCUUUAACUAUCUGACUGUUUCUGGGAAUGACUAUUAGGCUGACAUGGUACUGGAAUUCCUGCAGAAGAUUUCUAAUCGUGUUAACAACUCAACAAUUUAAGAGCUGUUGUAUCAGUAGAUAACACAUGGUGCACUGCUAUUUUAUUGGCUUGAAAGAUAGGAAUUGUAUUCUUUAGCAUUACACAGUGGGUUUAGUAUGGAUGUUGAAGUGAUUGAUGUCGAAUGAAUGGUGCAUCAUGGAAUGGCGGAGAAAUGAUUGGCUUCAAUCAUUAUACAAUGCUCGCGCUCAAUAGGCACCUGUGUAUUUCCGAGAUUCCUUUUUUGCUGCUAUAUCUCCCAAUCAAGAGUACGAUGGCUUCUUUUUUGAAGGCUAUGUGAAUCAACAGACCAUAUUACCAUUGUUCUUUAGGCAAUAUGAAAGAGCUUUCGAGAACUGGUUUGAAAGAGAAAUAGAAGCAGACUUUCUGAUUGUGAUUUGUGUAGUUUUUUUGUUUUAUUAUUACUUACCAAUGCUUUUUGCUUUUCAUUUUAUAGGUCUCCAUGUAUGUUGUUGCAACACAUUAGGUCUGUUGGGAUUGUAGGGAUAUAAGUUAGUUGGUUAGUAGCUUAUGAGUGAAGCAAAGAAUACUUGUAUAAAUAACAAAAACCUCUCUCUCUUUGUAAUUCAUUCAUUGUUCAAGGAAUACAAUAUUUAGUCAUUCA